UGCAAUUUCAUGUUUUAAAACCUAGAUGAAUCUGUGUUUAAAAAUAAUUGAACAAUAUUAUUGAAAACACCAGCAGAGUAUCGUGAAUGCAGUGAAUUUGCUAAAGUUCAUCUUGAGUACUUAAGUGUCAACUGAUUUCGUGUGGAAAAAUAUUUAUUAAAUGUCUACGAACUCUUUUGAAAACGUUUCUAUUACUCGGUUGCUAAGUUUGGCAAAAGAAGGAUUUACUACAGCAAAAAGUCUCAAGACUUUUGGAGGCUACAAGAACGCCUGUUAACACAAAGGGACCUAUUGGAUGGACCCAAAUGAGGUGUUCUUACUUGCUUCGAUUAGACGGCUGCCUGUUAACCUAACCUUUAUUAAAAAAUCCUAAUCGAGAAUCUCUAAAACAUCAAAAAAUCAAUUUAUACCACUAACAAAUGAAAUUCAAUUCAAUGUUAUGAAAAACGACAACAAACAAUUAACAUAACCAUAUUUUAAGGGCCAAUAUUUUUCGAAUUACUUUCAAAUAUGUUUGAUUUGAAAAGGGUUUAUAUAAUAUAAGAAACCAAAUCUAGAAAAGAAAAUAUUUAAAAAAACACACCAAUAAAUUUAUCAAAACAAUGCAAAAAAAGGAAACAAAACAA